UACGAAGGGGGCAAGCGUUGUUCGGAAUUACUGGGCGUAAAGGGCGCGUAGGCGGCCGAUCAAGUCAGGCGUGAAAUUCCCGGGCUCAACCUGGGGGCUGCGCUUGAUACUGAUUGGCUUGAAUGCGGGAGAGGAUAGUGGAAUUCCCAGUGUAGAGGUGAAAUUCGUAGAUAUUGGGAAGAACACCGGUGGCGAAGGCGGAUCUCUGGGCCGAUACUGACGCUGAGGCACGAAAGCGUGGGGAGCGAACAGG
rnacentral:rRNA from 1 species